AAACGCUACGACGGCUUACACUCCCAGCUUAGGGCAGCAUAGAAGUAGCACACUUUGGUGGCGACCGGCGCACGGGUGAGUAACGCGUAUGCAACCUACCUAUCAGAGGGGAAUAACCCGGCGAAAGUCGGACUAAUACCGCAUAAAACAGGGGCACCGCAUGGUGAUAUUUGUUAAAGAAAUUCGCUGAUAGAUGGGCAUGCGUUCCAUUAGGUAGUUGGUGAGGUAACGGCUCACCAAGCCGACGAUGGAUAGGGGAACUGAGAGGUUGGUCCCCCACACUGGUACUGAGACACGGACCAGACUCCUACGGGAGGCAGCAGUGAGGAAUAUUGGUCAAUGGGCGGGAGCCUGAACCAGCCAAGUCGCGUGAAGGAAGAAGGAUCUAUGGUUCGUAAACUUCUUUUGCAGGGGAAUAAAGUGCAGGACGUGUCCUGUUUUGUAUGUACCCUGAGAAUAAGGAUCGGCUAACUCCGUGCCAGCAGCCGCGGUAAUACGGAGGAUCCGAGCGUUAUCCGGAUUUAUUGGGUUUAACGGGUGCGUAGGUGGUCCGAUAAGUCAGCGGUGAACGUUUGCACGCUUAACUGUAAAAAUGCCGUACAAACCUGUCGGACUUGACUGUCAAUGAGGCACGCGGAAAUGCGUGGUGUAGCGGUGCAACGCAUAGAUC
rnacentral:rRNA from 1 species